AGAGUUUGAUCCUGGCUCAGAAUGAACGCUGGCGGCGUGCUUAACACAUGCAAGUCGAGCGAGAAAGGUCUUCGGACUGAGUAAAGCGGCAAACGGGUGAGUAACACGUAGGAAUCUACCUUUUAGUGAGGAAUACCCUCGAGAAAUCGAGGUUAAUACUGCAUACGUCUAGAAAUAGAGAAAGAUGGCCUCCUUGCUGUCGCUGAAAGAUGAGCCUGCGGACUAUUAGCUAGUUGGUAGGGUAAUGGCCUACCAAGGCGAUGAUGGUUAGCCGGCCUGAGAGGGUGUACGGCCACACUGGAACUUAGACACGGUCCAGACUCCUACGGGAGGCAGCAGUGAGGAAUAUUGCGCAAUGGGCGAAAGCCUGACGCAGCGACGCCGCGUGGAGGAUGAAGGUCUUCGGAUUGUAAACUUCUGUUAAGUGGGAAGAAAAAGAAGGUUCUAUACAGCCUUAAAAUGACGUCCACUAAAGAAAGCACCGGCUAACUUCGUGCCAGCAGCCGCGGUA
rnacentral:rRNA from 1 species